rnacentral:rRNA from 1 species
CCUACGGGAGGCAGCAGUCGAGAAUCAUUCACAAUGGGGGAAACCCUGAUGGUGCGACGCCGCGUGGGGGAAUGAAGGUCUUCGGAUCGUAAACCCCUGUCAUGUGGGAGCAAAGUAGGAAAAUAGUACCCGGAGAGGAAGAGACGGGUAACCAUGUGCCAGCAGCCGCGGUAAUACAGAGGUCUCAAGCGGUGUUCGGAAUCACUGGGCGGAAAGCGUGCGGAGGCUGUUUCGUAAGUCGGGUGUGAAAGGCGCGGGCUCAAACCGCGGACGGCAACUGAUACUGAGAGACUAGAGUAAGGGAGGGGGAACCGGAAUGCUCGGUGUAGCAGUGAAAUGCGUAGAUAUCGAGAGGAACACUCGUGGCGAAGGCGGGUUCCUGGACAUUAACUGACGCUGAGGCACGAAGGCCAGGGGAGCGAAAGGGAUUAGAUACCCGAGUAGUC